rnacentral:rRNA from 1 species
AGAGUGUUUCUAGAAAGAA